UUACGGUCAAAUCACGCUGAAAACACCGGUUCUCGUUCGAUCACCGAAGUUAAGCAUCGUAGAGCCAGGUCAGUACUUAGAUGGGGGACCGCUUGGGAACACCUGGUACUGUAAG